UACGUAGGCAGCAAGCGUUGUUCGGAUUUACUGGGCGUAAAGGGUGUGUAGGCGGUUUUUUAAGUUUGGUGUGAAAUCUCCCGGCUCAACUGGGAGGGUGCGCCGAAUACUGAAAGACUAGAGUGCGGGAGAGGAAAGUGGAAUUCCUGGUGUAGCGGUGAAAUGCGUAGAUAUCAGGAGGAACACCGGUGGUGUAGACGGCUUUCUGGACCGUAACUGACGCUGAGACACGAAAGCGUGGGUAGCAAACAGG
rnacentral:rRNA from 1 species